AGCCGGAUUUAAUGGCGCAGCCGUGGCUCGGCAGCGGAUUACGGCCAGAAACAUGAUCACAAACUGCAAGAGGAAACAUCUGAUCAUCAUCAGCUUCUUACAAAAGUAAAGGCACUUUUUUCUACUGUUUCUCACCGAAAUUUUCUCAGCAACCAAACAGGGGCUUAGCCAGAGAAUCCGCGGGAAAAAAAAAGGAAAAAAA